rnacentral:piRNA from 1 species
GCAGAAGACAGAACUCCCAAGAUCCC